AACUUCUCUGGAGAUCCCUGUGUGUCUGAGGCCUUUUGAAGCUUGUAUUGACUGUGGGGGUUGCUAUGACCCUUUUGCAAGACCUCCUACUUGGAUCUGUUGAACCUCAUGAGAUUCACCUGGACCUCAUCCUGGAUCAAGACUGUCUAGAUCUCUCUGCUUGGCAUCCCAUCCCUUAUGCAUGUUGACCACAGCUUGGUGUCAUCUGAAAAUUUGCUGAGGGCGCACUUGAUCCCACAAUCAAUGCCACUGAUGAAGGUGUUUAAGAAUAUUGGUCUCAGUACUGACCCCUGAGAGACACCUUUCAUUAUUGAUCUCCAUUUGGACACUGAAUGGUUGACCAUCACUCUCUGGAUAUGAUUUCACAACCAAUUCCUCAUUCGCUAAACUGUGCAUCCGUCAAAUCCGUAUCUUUCCAGUCUGGAGAGGAGGAUGUUGUGGAGGACUAUACCAAAAGCCUUACUGAAGUCCAGAUAGCUCACAUCAGUGAUUCCUCCUUUGUCCACUGAUGCAGAUGCGCCACCAUAGAAGGCCAUGAAGCUGUUCUGACCUCUGAACAGGACUCUAUAAAACCUUAUUUAUCCAGAAUUUACUAAAAUAUAAAAGAACCCUGGAAAAAAAUUUCAUGUGGAAGAAAAAGCAUAGAAACAAAAAAAUCCUGAAGUGCAAAAUUUGUUUUAUGACUCUGUCUAAUGCUAUUUAAUCAUGUUCACAUAUUCUGAAAUUACUGUGAGGACAUCAGUACUGAUGGUUUAGUAUACGCUUCUUGUCUCAUGCUGAGACAAGAAAUUCCCAAUAUGAUUUUAUUUUGUAUUCUAUUUUAAGGCUAUUACUACAAUAUUUUGAGAAUUUACUUUGACUUACUCUGCAUGGUAAGAUGGACAAGUCGUUAAUAAGAAGAGUUUUAUUGUGAACUAUAUCAAUAUGAGAUCCUUGCUAGAUUCAUAUAUUUAGCAGUGUAACAACCCUAUCUAAUGUUGAAUAGGAAAAUGGUAUGAAUAAUUUUGACUUAAGUAUACUUCCAACCUAAGAAGCUAGGGUAUCUGAUGAAAUAGUAAGAGAGAUAUGAAUAUGAAUCAAAAUUAUCUUUCUACUUCUCUCUGGUCCUCCCACAAAUAGAGAAGUUGGUUUGCAUUUAAGCUAAGUCCAGACACAAUCAUCCAAUACUAACUUAGUUACAUUUCCUUCCAGAAUAGACAAGAUAUCAAAUACUCAUUUUUCAGCUACUUCCAGUCUCAAGAUGGUAAUAUCAAAUACAUUUAUGCUUUGCAAACAUAAAGGUGAAAAGCUU
ensembl:lncRNA